rnacentral:rRNA from 1 species
CUUGGAGCUCGCCGUCGCCUCCCUCCAGACGCCUGUGGUGUGUGAGAUGGAAGUCGCCUCCCUCCCUUUGACACCACUACCAGAACUGGUCGACGCCGCCGGUCGCGUCCCUCUCUUCUCCGCGGUGACGAGCAUGGGCGGGUUCCCCACCAUGGCUUCCUCGCCGCCAACGGCGAGCGCGGUGCCUCCUCUCCACGCUCUGUAGAUCCGUCCCGGUGGAAACUCAAUGCAGGUUCUAUCAGUGAAAGGAUUGGAGACUGGUUCUAGUAGUGGUGGUUUGUUUGAUGAAUUUCUAGUGCCCAUGAUUUGCAAAGGGUUUCAGCCAG